UACGGAGGAUGCGAGCGUUAUCCGGAUUUAUUGGGUUUAAAGGGUGCGUAGGCGGAUUUGUAAGUCAGCGGUAAAAAUGCGGUGCUCAACGCCGUAUCGCCGUUGAAACUGCAGGUCUUGAGUGAGCGAGAAGUAUGCGGAAUGCGUGGUGUAGCGGUGAAAUGCAUAGAUAUCACGCAGAACCCCGAUAGCGAAGGCAGCAUGCCGGCUUCCGACUGACGCUGAAGCACGAAAGCGUGGGGAUCGAACAGG
rnacentral:rRNA from 1 species